rnacentral:rRNA from 1 species
GGGUGCUUGCACCUGGUGGCGAGUGGCGAACGGGUGAGUAAUACAUCGGAACGUGUCCUGGAGUGGGGGAUAGCCCGGCGAAAGCCGGAUUAAUACCGCAUACGCUCUAUGGAGGAAAGCGGGGGAUCUUCGGACCUCGCGCUCAAGGGGCGGCCGAUGGCAGAUUAGCUAGUUGGUGGGGUAAAGGCCUACCAAGGCGACGAUCUGUAGCUGGUCUGAGAGGACGACCAGCCACACUGGGACUGAGACACGGCCCAGACUCCUACGGGAGGCAGCAGUGGGGAAUUUUGGACAAUGGGGGCAACCCUGAUCCAGCAAUGCCGCGUGUGUGAAGAAGGCCUUCGGGUUGUAAAGCACUUUUGUCCGGAAAGAAAACUUCGGGGUUAAUACCUCUGGAGGAUGACGGUACCGGAAGAAUAAGCACCGGCUAACUACGUGCCAGCAGCCGCGGUAAUACGUAGGGUGCGAGCGUUAAUCGGAAUUACUGGGCGUAAAGCGUGCGCAGGCGGUGAUGUAAGACCGAUGUGAAAUCCCCGGGCUUA